rnacentral:lncRNA from 1 species
UCUCAAAGGUCUUCCAUUACACUAGAUCACAUUUUAUUUCAUUACACUAGAUCACAUUUUGAUUACUGCAUUUUGAAAAUGUAUUCCUUAUUUAAAUUUUAAAUAAGAGAUCUGAAUUUGUACCAAGAUUUCAUGAAAAAAUUUGAUGUUGUUUAUUGCAAAUACAAUUUAAACAAGUUUUUUUUAGUGUUUGUACACAAUUUGUCAAUUUUUCAAUAUUCAAUUUUCUGUACAGGUACUUUUGGGACAAUUCUUAUAGUUACAUAAUGUGAAUUCAUCAAAAUGCAGUUAAGAAACUUACAGGAAUAUAUACACUUGAACCCAAGACCCAAACCUGACAUUAUAUACAACCUAUUUACAAAUACAUAUGGACAGACAAUAUAUGUACAUAGAUUAUCAUAAAUAUUGAAAAAUAGGUUAGCUUUAAUGGAUUAAUGUUGUUCUAUAAAUAACAUUACAGUUGUAACUGAAACAUCCACGGAAGACAGUAAUGCAAAAUGAGGUGACAAGACAGUGGUUUUAAUACUGAAGACUGCUCAUUAAUGGGAAUUCAUUGUUCAGGAACCUCAAGGUAGACAAGAUAGCUCCCAGAAAAUCAUCCAUUGGAAUUUUCCCUAGGCACUUGAUUUUGAACCUUAAAUAGCCAGAGGAUUGGAGGAGCUUCCUCACAUUAAUUUGCUGUAGAGAAAAGAAUUUUUUUUCCAUUCCUUCCUGGUUGCCACAGUAUCUUCUCCCAUACAAAAAAAAAAAAAAAAGUCUGUAGAAACAACUCUUGGUAUUCCCUGGCAGGUCUUAGAUACAAAGUCAGCAACUCUUUCCAGGAGCUCAUGCAAAUUUGCCAAUUCUUGGUCUCAACUAGAGGUGAGGUUCUGCAUUCGAAUGGAGUGCCUAAAGCCCAAUUAAAUGAAAGCAGUGCCGUAGAAUCUGUCUUCCCACUGCCUUUCUAUUUCUAGAUGGCCCCCAAUUAUUUUAUCUUCAUAGAAACAGACAAAAAUGGACCAACGGUUUCACCCAAUGUAGCACUACAAGACGUCUUCCAGUUCCAUAAGGGUCUUUAAUUACACAUGUAUCUUGUUUGUAAAUUUAGUCACAUAUAAUACAAGAAUGCGUAACAAAAACCAUGUCUCCACAUUUCUGGCCCUUGCCCCAAACAACAUUUUUAGUUCAAGGGCAAACCUUACAGCCAGAUGACCAAUUGACAAUUCCAUUAUUUGCUUCCUUCAACCACUUAAUGGAAUUAUGUAUAUUAGAUUUUAGACAUUAUGCCUGAUGAGCGAAGUACCACAUUAUUUAAUAAUAUAUUCACCAUACACUGUGACGUACGAUAAAUGUGCUCUUAAAGCCAAGUUUCAAAGUAAUUAUUUUCAUUUCUAACUGGGAUUGAAAUGGAAGGGUUGACAUGCAGUUGGACCAAAAUGACUACUAACACUCAGUUUGCACUGUUUUCCCUAGCUAACCAUUUGUUGGAUGUAAACAAGUAAUUCUACGUUGUACAAGAAUGAGAUGACAGUCCAGUGCAAAUGAGUUUUUAUAAAGCUUACUGCAUGAGAAACCCAGUGGCCUACGCAAAGAGAACUUAUAUCAUAUCAAACAUAGGUGUAACCUGUGGAUUAGACCUCUACUGUAGACAAAACAUGAACACAACUAAGCCAUACAUUGUCAAGUAAUUCACACUUCCAGUAGGUGAGCAUUUUGAAAAAGUGUACUCUCUGGACACAAUAAUUUUGGCCUAUUGCCAUCAAAUGCCCAUUUUCCACUGCUGGAAGCAAUGUCAAAAAAGGGCUGGCCCAAAAAAAGACCCAGAGCUGUCAAUACAACACUGGAGACAGAUGCAACUGAAUAAACCCUGUUUUACCCAAUUGCACUAUUUGGUACCUCAAAAUUAGUUAUUUUAUUUCCCACAGAAAUAUCUGCAUUAUCUUCCAUUCUAAUAAGUUGAAGACACAAACAUUUCAGUCUGAAUGAACCAAAUUGUUUGGGGACAGAGAAGAAAAGUGAUGAACAGAGUUCAUCUGAUUUGGUAUAGCAAUAAUCAAUCAUCUUUUAAGUAAUGGUGACGUUUAAAUGGAAAAAACUAUGCUCCUAAUUCAUGGUACAAUUUUUCAUUACAUCAUUUUCUCUAAAAAUUAUUUUGGGUAAAAAAGUAUUUGGCUUAUUAUGCCUACAAAAAGGCAAACCAUUUCAUUAUAUUAAUAUUCAUUUUUAAAUACCAAUGACAUUAUUUUAUGGAAUUUAUUGAUAACUGCUUCUGAAUAAAGUUCAAAAAA